rnacentral:rRNA from 1 species
UACGUAGGGUGCGAGCGUUAAUCGGAAUUACUGGGCGUAAAGCGUGCGCAGGCGGUUCGUUGUGUCUGAUGUGAAAGCCCCGGGCUCAACCUGGGAAUGGCAUUUGGGACUGCAAGGCUGGAGUGUGGCAGAGGAGACUGGAAUUCCUGGUGUAGCAGUGAAAUGCGUAGAUAUCAGGAGGAAUACCGAUGGCGAAGGCAGGUCUCUGGGCUAACACUGACGCUCAUGCACGAAAGCGUGGGGAGCAAACAGG